UGAGGAAUAUUGCGCAAUGAGCGACAGCUAGACGCAGCAACGCCGCGUGGACGAUGAAGGCCUUCGGGUCGUAAAGUCCUUUUCAGAGGGACGAGUGAGGACGGUACCUCUGGAAUAAGUCACGGCUAACUACGUGCCAGCAGCCGCGGUAAAACGUAGGUGGCGAGCGUUAUCCGGAUUCACUGGGCGUAAAGCGCCUGCAGGCGGUCUCGUAAGUGGGAUGUGAAAUCUCCUGGCUCAACUGGGAGGGGCCAUUCCAUACUGCGGGGCUGGAGGGCGGAAGAGGGAAGCGGAAUUCCCGGUGUAGUGGUGAAAUGCGUAGAUAUCGGGAGGAACACCAGUGGCGAAGGCGGCUUCCUGGUCUGCUCCUGACGCUAAGAGGCGAAAGCUAGGGGAGCGAACGGGAUUAGAAACCCCGGUAGUCCUAGCCGUAAACGAUGGAUACUAGGUGUCGGUGGUCCAAACCCCAUCGGUGCCGAAGCUAACGCGUUAAGUAUCCCGCCUGGGGACUACGGCCGCAAGGUUA
rnacentral:rRNA from 1 species